CUCCGAUUCAUAUUUCGUCGACCAAUCCUUCCUAAUUCACAUUUUUGUUGAAAAAAUUUCUUUUGUAAUUCCUCGCAUAAGGACUCCGAAAAUACCAGGUCCCCACCUACACAAGAAAAUUGUUGAUAAACCUCCAAAAUAGCUUAAUUCUUAUCUUUAGUCCAUUCUGAGCCAUUUACGAACAUUACAGCGAAUAUGAUCAAGACAUUUAUGGCUCCCACAUAAAUAAGAAGUUGUGAAGAAGAAAGAAGUAAUAGGUAGGGAUGACAGGAUUUGAACAUGUGACAUUUUGUACCCAAAACAAACGCGCUACCAAGCUGCGCAGUCGCAUUCAAGUAAUGCCCCUUGAUUUCACCGGUUUCGGCCUGUGAUUUAUAAAUAGCUUCGGCACAAAAGACAAAACGGUCUCUCCAGCGCAUAAAUGGUUGUGAAAAUAUUCAUCUUGACAAGAAAUUAUCUAUAUGUUAAGAUAUCUCUGAUAAGGGCUAUAGCUCAGUUCGGUAGAGCAACUCGUUAGUUUUUUUAUACUAAUUAAAACUUGCUAUCUAUGGAGCAAUAUGGAUAAAAGAAAGUAAGUAUUUAUCCGGGAAGCCUCCGCCAAGAUCCAAUUUAUUUAAACCCAUAUUAAAAUUCUAUCAUAUGAAUGAAACAUAGUUUGAAAAAGACGACUAAACAAGUUUGCUUAAAACUUAUUUAUUCUUAAAUUUCCACCCUCAACGGAUGGCUCGGAGAGAUGGCCGAGUGGUUCAAGGCGUAGCAUUGGAACUGCUAUGUAGACUUUUGUUUACCGAGGGUUCGAAUCCCUCUCUUUCCGUUUUUCUUAAUUCAUCAACGUUAAGGACCACAAUGUAUCAAAUCAAUUUGCCUCUGACCAUCAAAUUAAAUGUGAAUAAACCCGUCCUCCUCUCUUUGAAACAAGGGGCGCUUCCGGUUCUGUGCGUGCUUCAAACAAUUUUGUCUUCUCCAUAGCAACGACUGGAGUGGGGGAGUCAGAGUCUAAAAGAGGAUUCCUCGCUUCUUUCUCUCAUGCAAAACCGUGCAACCUUUUGGGGCUUCUACUCUUACAUAAAGCUCUUGUCUUGACAAUUCAAAAUUGGGCGAAGGUUUUUUACCAAGAAAUUUAUACUCAAAAUCAUUCCCUUCCUAGAAUGGGGUAUUAUCUGUCCCGAUAAAUAGAUAAUUCCAGGAGUAAUAAAUAGGAGUAAAUUAAAUAAAGUAUUGAUAUAAUUGGAAUUGCGGAAGCAAAUACCAAUUUACUAAAAAAAGUUACCACUUAGCAGGUUUCCAUACCAAGGCUCAAUACAAUCAAGUCCGUAGCGUCUACCGAUUUCGCCAUAUCCCCAUUUCCCUCUUCUUUGAGACCAGGAUUCCUUGUGUAAUUUCAUCCAUCUCUUAGUUUUUUUUUUGAAUCAUUGAGUUCAUCACUCAACGUAGUCUAGCAGUUCAGUUCGACUCUAUUUGAGAGACCUCGCUUGCUUAUUGCAAUUCAGAAUUGAAUUGAUUCUAUCCUUGAGUGGAACACAUUAGCCGUCCGCUCUCCGGUUGGGCAGUAAGGGUCGGAGAAGGGCAAUCACUCGUUCUUAAAACCAGCAUUCUUAAGAUCAAAGAGUCGGGCGGAAAAAGGGGAGAGCUCCCCGUUCCUGGUUCUCCUGUAACUGGAUUCCCCGGAACCACAAGAAUCCUUAGAAUGGGAUUCCAACUCAGCACCUUUUGCCCCCGCCACGAGCGAACGGGAAUGGAUAAGAGGCUUGUGGGAUUGACGUGAUAGGGUAGGGUUGGCUAUACUGCUGGUGGCGAACUCCAGGCUAAUAAUCUGAAGCGCAUGGAUACAAGUUAUCCUUAUCAUUUAAUAUCCAUCCCUUUGGUCUUAUUGACAUAAGAGAUGUCAUUUAUAGUCUAUCUCUUUCUAUAUAUGGAAAGUCAAGAAAUUCUCGUUUGUAUAACUAUUGUUUUUUCGCUAAUGACUACUAUCCCAGAUACGUCGUGGUAUGGAAUUCUUUGGACUACAAGAUCAAACCAAAUAGUAGAACAGGGUCUCAUAAAUAAUGUUCAACAAAUUGGAAUUCAUUUAGCAACCGAUUUUUAUCUUCCGUUUGAACUCAUUUCCAUAAUUCUUCUAGUUUCUUUAAUAGGUGCAAUUACUAUGGCUCGGCAAUAAGAAAACUUAGAAAAAGUACAAAUUAUAAGAAUUGCAAAUCUAAAAUAAAUAACUAAAGAAUCACAAUUUUGAUUUAGUAAAAUCCUCUUUUUAAAGAAGUUUUAAAAUAUAUCUUUUCUUUAUGAUAAAGAAGGGGGUGAGAUUCCCCUUUAUUUUUUUGCGUUUCUUAAUUUUGUAUUCGGUCCGAACCGACUGAUGUUGAAGAAUCAGCGGAUGAGUUGUGGUUAGGGGUGAAAUGCCACUCGAACCCAGAGCUAGCUGGUUCUCCCCGAAAUGCGUUGAGGCGCAGCAGUUGACUGGACAUCUAGGGGUAAAGCACUGUUUCGGUGCGGGCUGCGCGAGCGGGCACCAAAUUCAUGUAUCUUUACCAAUUAACCAAUUUCUUGACGCUGGGGUGGAUCCUAAAGAGAUACCACUUCCUCAUGAAUUUAUCUUGAAUCGGGACCUUUUGGCUCAACUUUAUCCUAGUUUUGCCGAAGGAGCGCCAGGUUGUCUCUUGCCUGCUCAUGGAUUCAGCAGGCAGUUUAAAAGGUUGACCUAUUUGGGAAUCUCCGGAUCUAUGCUUAUUUUCAACUCCCCGAAGCAUUUCGUCGCUUGCUACGCCCUUCCUCGG
rnacentral:lncRNA from 1 species